GAGUCGGGCGCGCAGACGAGCUCGCCGGGAGGAGCCGGGGGCACGGGCGUCCCCACCGCCCUCAGAAGGAGCUGCGGGAACAGUCGCAGCAGCUGCCGGGCGACAGCAUCCUCUGGAGAGACGCCUUAGGCUCCGCAGCUGUCUCGCUCCUCCCAGAGGCGAGCGCCGCCGCCCGCACCCCGAGCUCCUGCCCGCUGGGGACCCGCCGCCUGUCCGCCCACGGGGACAGCCACACCGGCGCCCCCAGCCUUUCACCUGCCGCAGGCUCCCGGGGUACAGAAGGUGCGAGACAGAGGGGCCCAGGAGACACCAUCCCCUGGUCUUCGCUCCACGCAGAGAAGGGACGCCUGCCAACACCACAAGCCCCCGGGCUCCCUGCACCCGGUCCCCAAGUUCAAGGGCGGCACCCUUCGAAAGCGGACCUAUCCUGCGCGGUGAGCAUUCUGGCCGCAUUGACCGCAGUGACCCCGGCCAGCCCACGGGAGUGCAGGCGGCCCUGUGCGCUCAGCGUCCCCUCGGGUCCCCGGAGUCGCCCGCGCGCCCGGCGGGGCCAUGCCCGGGCUGCGCCGGGACCGCCUGCUGACCCUGCUGCUGCUGGGCACGCUGCUCUCCGCCGACCUCUACUUCCACCUCUGGCCCCAGGUGCAGCGUCAGCUGCGGCCCCGAGAGCGCCCGCGGGGCUGCCCGUGCGCCCGCCGCGCCUCCUCUCUGGCCCCAGACUCCGCCGCAGCCGCCUCGGACCCCCACACGGCGGCGCACAACUUUUCCCGAGCCUGGCCGGGGACUGAGCAGGACGGCGGCGGCCGCAGUGACCCCGGCUCCAAGCUGCAGGCCCUCUUCGCCCACCCGCUGUACAACGUCCCGGAGGAGCCGCCUGUCCUUGGGCCGGAAGACGUGCUCCUCGCUGGCCCGGAGGCGCUGCGGUAUUACCGGAGGAAGGUGGCCCGUUGGAACAGACGACACAAGAUAUACAGAGAGCAGCUGAACCUCACGUCCCUGGACCCCCCGCUGCAGCUCCGACCCGAGGCCAGCUGGGUCCAGUUCCACCUGGGAAUCAACCGUCACGGGCUGUACCCCCGGUCCAGCCCUGUCGUCAGCAAACUGCUCCAGGACAUGAGCCACUUUCCCACCAUCAGUGCAGACUACAGCCAGGACGAGAAAGCCUUGCUUGGGGCCUGCGACUGCACCCAGAUUGUGAAGCCCAGUGGGGUCCACCUCAAGCUGGUUCUGAGGUUCUCGGACUUUGGGAAGGCCAUGUUCAAACCCAUGAGACAGCAGCGAGAUGAAGAGACGCCCGCGGAUUUCUUCUAUUUCAUUGACUUUCAGAGACACAAUGCUGAGAUUGCCGCUUUCCACCUGGACAGGAUUCUGGACUUCCGACGGGUGCCACCAACAGCAGGGAGGCUAGUCAAUGUCACCAAGGAAAUCCUAGAGAUCACCAAGAAUGAAAUCCUGCAGAGUGUUUUCUUUGUCUCUCCAGCCAGCAACGUGUGCUUCUUCGCCAAGUGUCCCUACAUGUGCAAGACCGAGUACGCUGUCUGCGGCAACCCCCACCUGCUGGAGGGCUCCCUCUCCGCGUUCCUGCCGUCCCUCAACCUGGCCCCCAGGUUGUCUGUGCCCAAUCCCUGGAUCCGCUCCUACACGCUGGCAGGAAAAGAGGAGUGGGAGGUCAAUCCUCUUUACUGUGACACAGUGAAGCAGAUCUACCCGUACAACAGCAGCAACCGGCUGCUCAACAUCAUCGACAUGGCCAUCUUCGACUUCCUCAUCGGAAAUAUGGACCGUCACCAUUAUGAGAUGUUCACCAAAUUUGGGGACGAUGGGUUCCUUAUCCACCUUGACAACGCCAGAGGGUUUGGACGACACUCCCAUGACGAAAUCUCCAUCCUCUCGCCACUCUCCCAGUGCUGCAGGAUAAAAAAGAAAACACUUCUGCACCUGCAGCUGCUGGCCCAACCUGAGUACAGACUCAGUGACGUGAUGCGGGAGUCACUGCUGGAGGACCAGCUCACCCCCGUCCUCACAGAGCCCCACCUCCUUGCCCUGGACCGGAGACUCCAGACCAUCCUAAGGACAGUGGAGGGCUGCAUCAAGGCCCAUGGAGAGCACAACGUCAUAGCCAAUGCCCCAGCAGGACAGUCAGCCCCAGACUCUGGCCAGGCUCACUUGACAAGCUAGGGGCUGGAUGAGUCCAACUGCAGAAACUACCCCUGGAGCCAGCAUUGGACUCAAGUGUGGACCACUGCAUCCACACGUGCCCCUGCGAUGCUGGAGGUCCUGGGGCAUGAGCUCGGGAAGCAGGCAGGGCAUUGGGAUGAUUCGGAAGCAGCCAAAGAAGUGGGCUCCACCGGCCUUUCCUCCUUGGUGUGCCACUUCUCCAAUGGACGGCCUUGGCUCCCUCUUGCCCCGGAAGCACGGCUUCACCAAGUCCAUAGAUCAGCUCCUGGGCCAGCUGGGAAAUCGGGAUAAAUCUGGGUGCAUGGAAGGCAUGAAAAGUUUGGAAGCCUUGUUCCCACAAGAGUAUUAACUGUUAUAAAUAAAAGGACAUCCCAUGGACAUCUAACUAACCUCCGGAUUCUUUGUACCUACAAGGGUAAUUCCCAAUCCAGGUAAAAGCAUCGGGCAUAUUGUAACCAACAAAGAAAUCUAAAACUACCACCUCUCAAAUUGGUUCAACAUAGACCUCACACUUUCUACUUACACUCCAGUCACUGUGGCCCAGUCUGAGGACAGCGAUCAUUAUUGACCGAUCCUCUAAUUUCUAAGAAACGUUAUUACAAGAGAAAAAGGCCAGCAGCUCAAAUAUAGUACAAGUGUGAGAGAGGUAGAAAAAAAGCUGUCACUGAAGAGGAUACAAGGUCAUGAACUAGAGAAGUCAUCCAAAACUUCUGCAAUGUGUCCAAAGGCGGCCCCGACUGGACAACAACAAGGGAAUCUCUGCCGCACCCUGACACCUCACAGCACAUUGUCCCUGACCCUCCUGUCUCUACCGCCACCAUUCACUGAGCUCUAACUACAGGUGAGAAUGGACACACGGUUCCCAAUCCCCCCUCACCCAGAUAGAAUCCCCUACUUCCAAUGCACACAGAAGAAAAAUUAUGCUGAGAUUAAUGAAAAGCACACAACUCAGUGACUUAAACCUAUUCCACAAUGUUCUUUCCACCGUAAUACAGAAACCCGACAGAAUCUUGCCCAAUUUAUGAAGUUGUAUUUCUUUCAAAAAAAUUUUUUUGAUAGACUUU